rnacentral:rRNA from 1 species
UACAGAGGUCCCAAGCGUUGUUCGGAUUCACUGGGCGUAAAGGGUGCGUAGGUGGUUGGGCAAGUCUGAUGUGAAAUCUCCGGGCUUAACCCGGAAAUGGCAUUGGAAACUGCCUGGCUAGAGUGUUGGAGGGGGGACUGGAAUUCCUGGUGUAGCGGUGAAAUGCGCAGAUAUCAGGAAGAACACCGGUGGCGAAGGCGCUCUGCUAGGCCGUAACUGACACUGAGGGACGAAAGCUAGGGGAGCGAAUGGG